CGGCUAACUACGUGCCAGCAGCCGCGGUAAUACGUAGGAUGCAAGCGUUAUCCGGAAUGACUGGGCGUAAAGGGUGCGUAGGUGGUUUGCCAAGUUGGCAGCGUAAUUCCGGGGCUUAACCCCGGAACUACUGCCAAAACUGGCAGGCUUGAGUGCGGCAGGGGUAUGUGGAAUUCCUAGUGUAGCGGUGGAAUGCGUAGAUAUUAGGAGGAACACCAGUGGCGAAAGCGACAUACUGGGCCGUAACUGACACUGAAGCACGAAAGCGUGGGUAGCAAACAGGAUUAGAUCCCCUGGUAGUCCACGCCGUAAACGAUGAAUACUAGGUGUAGGGGGUAUCGACUCCCUCUGUGCCGACGCAAACGCAUUAAGUAUUCCGCCUGGGGACUACGGCCGCAAGGUUGAAACUCAAAGAAAUUGACGGGGACCCGCACAAGCAGCGGAGCAUGGGGUUUAAUUCGACGCAACGCGAAAAACCUUACCAGAACUUGACAUCUAGCGAAGAACCUUGUAAUGAGGUUCGUCCCUUCGGGGACGCGAAGACAGGUGUUGCAUGGUUGUCGUCAGCUCGUGUCGUGAGAUGUUAGGUUAAGUCCUGCAACGAGCGCAACCCUCAUAUACAGUUGCCAAUAUUCAGUUAGGAACUCUGUAUAGACUGCCGUGGUCAACACGGAGGAAGGUGGGGAUGACGUCAAAUCAUCACGGCCCUUACGUUCUGGGCCACACCCGUGCUACAAUGGCUAUUACAAAGAG
rnacentral:rRNA from 1 species